AGAGUUUGAUCAUGGCUCAGAUUGAACGCUGGCGGCAGGCCUAACACAUGCAAGUCGAACGGUAACAGGAAACAGCUUGCUGUUUCGCUGACGAGUGGCGGACGGGUGAGUAAUGUCUGGGAAACUGCCUGAUGGAGGGGGAUAACUACUGGAAACGGUAGCUAAUACCGCAUAACGUCGCAAGACCAAAGAGGGGGACCUUCGGGCCUCUUGCCAUCAGAUGUGCCCAGAUGGGAUUAGCUAGUAGGUGGGGUAACGGCUCACCUAGGCGACGAUCCCUAGCUGGUCUGAGAGGAUGACCAGCCACACUGGAACUGAGACACGGUCCAGACUCCUACGGGAGGCAGCAGUGGGGAAUAUUGCACAAUGGGCGCAAGCCUGAUGCAGCCAUGCCGCGUGUAUGAAGAAGGCCUUCGGGUUGUAAAGUACUUUCAGCGGGGAGGAAGGGAGUAAAGUUAAUACCUUUGCUCAUUGACGUUACCCGCAGAAGAAGCACCGGCUAACUCCGUGCCAGCAGCCGCGGUAAUACGGAGGGUGCAAGCGUUAAUCGGAAUUACUGGGCGUAAAGCGCACGCAGGCGGUUUGUUAUGUCAGAUGUGAAAUCCCCGGGCUCAACCUGGGAACUGCAUCUGAUACUGGCAAGCUUGAGUCUCGUAGAGGGGGGUAGAAUUCCAGGUGUAGCGGUGAAAUGCGUAGAGAUCUGGAGGAAUACCGGUGGCGAAGGCGGCCCCCUGGACGAAGACUGACGCUCAGGUGCGAAAGCGUGGGGAGCAAACAGGAUUAGACACCCUGGUAGUCCACGCCGUAAACGAUGUCGACUUGGAGGUUGUGCCCUUGAGGCGUGGCUUCCGGAGCUAACGCGUUAAGUCGACUGCCUGGGGAGUACGGCCGCAAGGUUAAAACUCAAAUGAAUUGACGGGGGCCCGCACAAGCGGUGGAGCAUGUGGUUUAAUUCGAUGCAACGCGAAGAACCUUACCUGGUCUUGACAUCCACGGAAGUUUUCAGAGAUGAGAAUGUGCCUUCGGGAACCGUGAGACAGGUGCUGCAUGGCUGUCGUCAGCUCGUGUUGUGAAAUGUUGGGUUAAGUCCCGCAGCGAGCGCAACCCUUAUCCUUUGUUGCCAGCGGUCCGGCCGGGAACUCAAAGGAGACUGCCAGUGAUAAACUGGAGGAAGGUGGGGAUGACGUCAAGUCAUCAUGGCCCUUACGACCAGGGCUACACACGUGCUACAAUGGCGCAUACAAAGAGAAGCGACCUCGCGAGAGCAAGCGGACCUCAUAAAGUGCGUCGUAGUCCGGAUUGGAGUCUGCAACUCGACUCCAUGAAGUCGGAAUCGCUAGUAAUCGUGGAUCAGAAUGCCACGGUGAAUACGUUCCCGGGCCUUGUACACACCGCCCGUCACACCAUGGGAGUGGGUUGCAAAAGAAGUAGGUAGCUUAACCUUCGGGAGGGCGCUUACCACUUUGUGAUUCAUGACUGGGGUGAAGUCGUAACAAGGUAACCGUAGGGGAACCUGCGGUUG
rnacentral:rRNA from 1 species